UACGAAGGGGGCUAGCGUUGCUCGGAAUGACUGGGCGUAAAGGGCGCGUAGGCGGUUUGUACAGUCAGGUGUGAAAUUCCCGGGCUCAACCUGGGGGCGGCACUUGAGACGUAGGAACUGGAGUGAGGAAGAGGGUCGUGGAAUUCCCAGUGUAGAGGUGAAAUUCGUAGAUAUUGGGAAGAACACCGGUGGCGAAGGCGGCGACCUGGUCCAUUACUGACGCUGAGGCGCGACAGCGUGGGGAGCAAACAGG
rnacentral:rRNA from 1 species